CAGUCGCCACGGGAACACCGAGGGUGCAAGCGUUAAUCGGAAUUACUGGGCGUAAAGCGCGCGUAGGUGGUUUGUUAAGUUGGAUGUGAAAUCCCCGGGCUCAACCUGGGAACUGCAUCCAAAACUGGCAAGCUAGAGUAUGGUAGAGGGUGGUGGAAUUUCCUGUGUAGCGGUGAAAUGCGUAGAUAUAGGAAGGAACACCAGUGGCGAAGGCGACCACCUGGACUGAUACUGACACUGAGGUGCGAAAGCGUGGGGAGCAAACAGGAUUAGAUACCCGUGUAGUCCCUGUCUCUUAUAC
rnacentral:rRNA from 1 species